AAACACCCUCACAGACACACCCAGAAUAUGGUGGAUGUCUGGGACUCCCCCCCCGCCCCCGGCCCCGGGCGCCCCUGGUUGACAUUCCAUACGUGCACUAUAAGCGUAUCCCCCGUCUCACCUCAUUACUCCUCACGCCACCCUGCGGGGUAGGUGCCACCGUUCACAGGUAAGGGUCUAGGUAUAGAGGGUUAGCUAUGCAGCUGAGAAGUGGCUGCCGUGGGGUUCCACACAGAGCCACCCCACAACCUGCUGGAGUUCAGGCUGGUCUGGAAAUUCCUCGGGGAGUCAGCUCCGCUUCCCCAGUCCACCGGCCCCACAGCCAAACUAACCGCGAAGAAUUCCUUCGCUCUCCCCUCCUCUUUGGUGUCCACCAUGGCCUUCUCCGCUGCCUGGGGACCAGCCACCGGGCGCGGAGGACCCGCAGCGCGCGCGGCGCCCGCACCUCCCAGUGUGAAUGGCGCAGCGCCGCCCGGUUCGCGUCGCUCAGACGCCCGGGCCUCGCGGGACCCACACUCCGGGCGGACGGGUCGGUGGUGAGUUCAGCCUCCGUCCGGUGAGUGUGCGGACCCCGGGCCGCGGACCGGGCCGCCCGGCAGCACGCGCUCCCGCCGCCUGGGUCAGUGCGCGCCGCCUCUGAGCCGCGCAAACCACAGCCUCGGGGCCUCCGCGCAUCGCCCCCGAUUGUGCCGUGUGUGCCCGCGAUCACCUCUCCGCCGUCCUCCCGGUGUGUGCCCCAUAAUCUUUCCAGGGUUUAGGGCCUGCACAGUCUGUGCCCGCCCCGCGCUGGGCGUUGUUGAGAGCUUGGCUGAGGGCGGAGGCCGGGGAGGAGGGGGCCACACAGAGUGCCCCGUGGGCCCUGCUGUGUAGACAGCCAGGCUGAGGGAGGAGCUGCCAAACCAGGAGGAAAGGGCAUUUAAUUAAGACGGAGGAGAGGAGGUCGUGAUGGCCCAGGGGAGGGGAGCAGUCCGGGCAAGCCGAGCACAGCGUCGUCUGCUUCAACUGUGAACACAGGCCCUGCUGGCCAGUCGCGAUGUUCAACCAGAGAACACGAGUGCAGCAUCUACUCACCCUUGAGCCUGCCGCAUGAAGAAGCAGUGUGUGGUCUGGACCAUCAGCAGAACUAACUUCACCGUCCUCCAGAAAUGCGGAACUCGGUGGGCAUGCUGCUGUGACCACAUCUUGGAUACACCUGGCCAGGCAGGUGACAUCUGAGUUCAGAAUCUCCUUAUAUCUGAAUACAAGUCCAAUCUGAAAAUGAUCAGCUGGUACAUAGAACAGCUAUAUUUUUACUAAGAAAAAUAUAAAGAUAGAAAAGUUCUAGAUAAGAUACAAAAAUCAGGGAAACAGAAGAGGUAAGGAUUUGCAAGGAGAGAGACAAAGGGAAAUAAAGGUCAGAUAUGAGAAAGCAUGGUCGUGGGAAGGGAGAUGGGAGAUGCCGAGAGCUGAAGGCCCAGAGAGAGGUUAGGGAGCUCAUGGGGCCACCCGGCCGAGGAGAGGGCUCAGAGGGGGGAGCACGCAGCGUUAUGAUGUCUUCACGGAGGGAGUACUUGUAUGUUCCAUCAAGCAGGGGAGGAGGCAGCACCCCAAAAUGAAAACAUCUUUUCUCUUACAGAAAUUAAAAUAGUACCCUAAAAGUCAAAUCCCCCUUGUAAGCCAGGCUCACAAUAAAAAAGCCGUGAGCUAGUGGUCAGCUAGUGUAGAAACAGCUGGAACAGUGUGUUGAUGCCAAGUUCAUUUUCAUCACACACACAUGCACGUGCGCACACACACACGCACGGCUUAGAAAAAAAGUACCAGAGUUGCUCCUGUGUGUCCGAAUCACAGCAAGGAAAUAAAUAUUACUGAAGGUUUUUGAACCAGAGGUGAAGCCAUUAGUGAGAGUCAAAUGGCAGGAGCACAAAGCCCCUUCACAAUGGAAAGGAGUGGCUGUCAGCGGGAGGAAUGUUCUGGAGAAGAAAGGGAAGAGAAAGGCGAAGCCACGCUUGGUUGACAAGAGGCCGUGGUGACUGAUGGCCUGGAGCAGUGCGUUGUGGAGCGUCCUCGAGAACAGAGAAGAUGCGGCUUCUGCAAAGGCCGCAGAGCAGAGUCAGAGCCGAGCACAUCCUGCACGGCGCUCCACGGCGAGUCAGGCAAAACCAGCGUCCUGGCGCCGGGACGGUAGUCAAAGCUGAGUGAAGGACAGUCGAGCGAUUAAAAUGCAUUUCACUGCUAAUUCACCACCAACGAGUCGGCCGCCUUGUUGCACUGUCCAUCCACCAACUGAGGCAUCGAGGCCUGACCCCUGUUCAAGGUCAGGCUCCCUGCUGCACAUUCAGUCAGUGGGCAGCAGUCCAGUGGCUACUCCACGAGCCCAGCACUGGAUCCACGAGGUGUGGAAGCGCCGUCUGCAUUUCACAGGUGAGCAGACGAGGGCUCGCGUGUGCACUCCCACGGCACAGUUCAGCUCAGGCCUCCAACCUCAGGCCCAACACGAGAGAGCUCCGAGGAAGCCCUGCCCUCCGCCCUCCUCGGGCCCCGCUGGAUUUGGGGGCUUUCUCUAGAGCUUUGGUGACUGAAUCCUUUGUCUCCCAAGUGGGGCACUUUAGAGAACAUGGGGGUCUACUAAGAAUCACACCUGGAGACAGGCGUGAACCAGGACUGGCCAGGGGGCAAGAGGAGUGGAGACCCCACCCACAGCCCAGCUGCAUGGGCCCAAACAGACACAGGCGUUUCCUUCCCAGGCCCCUGCAAAGUGCUCAGCCCGUGAGCCCCUUGGUUUGUGGGUGAGAGUGUCCCCAGACGGGGAAGAGAGGGAGGCUUGGGAGGGAGCAGAGCUGAGGCCCGGCCCCAGCGUGGACACUGCCGGCCGCCACGCAGACAGCAUCCCAGCCCAACACUCACUGCUGGCAGGGGUGACAAUGAAAAUACUUAACCAUAUGGCAAGGGCAUCGACCAAUCAAAUAAAGGAGACAUCGUGCCAAGACGGGGCUGCAGGCCCUGAUCCGCUGGUUACUACCCCUCCAGGAGGUCCCAGGGGGAGCGGGGACAGAGGAGAGGGGCCUCAGGAGGCCCAGAGUGUCUAUGACCAACCAUUGCAGGAGCAUGUCAAUAUUCUAACCAGUACAGCGCCCUCACUCACUGCGCUGGGAUAAACCAGGAAAACACAGAGAGUCCUAAGGAUCCAUUUUUGCUGCGUAACAAACCAGCCCAAACUUGGUGGCUUACAUAAUAGCUAUUGAUUUAGAUUAUGGUCUGUGGAUCGGCCAUCUGAGCAGGGCUCAGCUGGGUGGGCCAGCUUGUCUCAGAGGGGCUCCGUCACACAUCUGUGGUCGGUCGUCAUCAGCUGGCACGGCUCCUGCACGUUGGCCGGCUGGCGGCUGGGUGCGAGGCGGCUGGGCCCCGUCGACAGCCCCCAGCGGGUGAGCCUGGGCGUGUUCACAGGGUGGAAGCUCUUCCUGGAGGGGGAGGAAGCUGCAAGACCUCUCGAGGCCUGCACACAGGACUGGGACGCGGACAAUCCUACUGCGGUCUAUUCGCCACAGCAAAGCACAGGGUCAGCCCAAGUGCGUGGGAUGGAGAAACAGACCCAGGUUCUGGUGGGAGGGGUGUUGUGGAGGGAAGAGAAGAGCCAUUUUGCGAUCUACCACAAAGUGCUGUAAACAGGUGCUGCCCCACAGCCUCCAGACUUAGCAGGGCCCCGGAGGAUGGCGGGCAGGGCCUGACUGGAGAGCUAUUCAGUUUUCAAUUUAAAACGUCGGAGGGAGCUGAGAAGAGGUGAUCCUUCCGGAUGUGUUUGCCUGGAGACCGAGAACAAAAGCUUAGGCCGGUCGAGCCGAUUUUUGUUUUGUGUAUUUGUUUUUUCUUUUAUUUAUUUAUGAAAUCAGCGGAGUCCGGGAGUGAUUUUCCUCUGUGUUUUCAAAUAAGGUUUAAAAGGCUAUGCCCUGGGCUGGGCAUUUUCUUGGCAGAGCCGCUGCACACAGCUUCGCAGACUCUGAGGGAGGAUGUAUUUAUGUUUGAUGCAGUCACAUUUGAUGGGUGUUUGGGUGAGGGUUUUUAAAUGGGAAAAAAAAGAACUGAGUGUACAAAAGAUCAGAAAGGACGUGCAUCGCAAAGGCUGAGAGAGGCACAAAGGAUGCACGGAGUCCACAUUUAUUCCUCAAGUGCAUUAAGCCCAUUAUGGCAAAAGGAAGGGAUUUUAUUGCUUUCUAUCCAACCUAAUGACACCAGAAACCCUCAACAGUGGACAAAGCCAUUUUCUUCCUUAGAUAAAAUAAAA
ensembl:lncRNA